rnacentral:rRNA from 1 species
GCUGGCGGCGUGCCUAACACAUGCAAGUCGAGCGAGAAAGUUCCUUCGGGAACGAGUACAGCGGCGCACGGGUGAGUAACACGUAGGUAACCUACCCUCGAGCCCGGAAUAACCCGUCGAAAGAUGGGCUAAUGCCGGAUGGGACCACGGUGGCCAUGGCCACCGCGGUGAAAGAUGGCCUCUGUUCACAUGCUAUUACUUGAGGAUGGGCCUGCGCGCCAUUAGCUAGUUGGUGAGGUAACGGCUCACCAAGGCGAUGAUGGCUAGCUGGUCUGAGAGGAUGACCAGCCACACUGGGACUGACACACGGCCCAGACUCCUACGGGAGGCAGCAGUGGGGGAUAUUGCGCAAUGGGCGAAAGCCUGACGCAGCGACGCCGCGUGGGUGAUGAAGGCCUUCGGGUCGUAAAGCCCUGUCGAGGGGGACGAAUCAGCCUGGUCCUAACACGAUCAGGCCCUGACGGUACCCCUAAAGGAAGCACCGGCUAACUCCGUGCCAGCAGCCGCGGUAA